rnacentral:rRNA from 1 species
AUUGAACGCUGGCGGCAGGCCUAACACAUGCAAGUCGAGCGGAUGAAGGGAGCUUGCUCCUGGAUUCAGCGGCGGACGGGUGAGUAAUGCCUAGGAAUCUGCCUGGUAGUGGGGGAUAACGUCCGGAAACGGGCGCUAAUACCGCAUACGUCCUGAGGGAGAAAGUGGGGGAUCUUCGGACCUCACGCUAUCAGAUGAGCCUAGGUCGGAUUAGCUAGUUGGUGGGGUAAAGGCCUACCAAGGCGACGAUCCGUAACUGGUCUGAGAGGAUGAUCAGUCACACUGGAACUGAGACACGGUCAAGACUCCUACGGGAGGCAGCAGUGGGGAAUAUUGGACAAUGGGCGAAAGCAUGAUCCAGCCAUGCCGCGUGUGUGAAGAAGGUCUUCGGAUUGUAAAGCACUUUAAGUUGGGAGGAAGGGCAGUAAGUUAAUACCUUGCUGUUUUGACGUUACCAACAGAAUAAGCACCGGCUAACUUCGUG